UACGGAGGGGGCUAGCGUUGUUCGGAAUUACUGGGCGUAAAGCGCACGUAGGCGGCUUUGUAAGUUAGAGGUGAAAGCCCGGGGCUCAACUCCGGAAUUGCCUUUAAGACUGCAUCGCUAGAAUUGUGGAGAGGUAAGUGGAAUUCCGAGUGUAGAGGUGAAAUUCGUAGAUAUUCGGAAGAACACCAGUGGCGAAGGCGGCUCACUGGACAUGUAUUGACGCUGAGGUGCGAAAGCGUGGGGAGCAAACAGG
rnacentral:rRNA from 1 species